UUGACCUGCCCAAUGUUUAAUAUUAAUGGCUGCGGUAUAUUGACCGUACUAAGGUAGCAUAAUAAUUAGGUUAUUUAUUGUAAUCUUGAAUGAAUGGUUUGACGAAAAAAUAGCUUUCUUAUUUUGUUUAUUGAAGUUAAAUUAUUAGUAAAAAUGCUAAUAAUGUAAUUAAACGAGAAGACCCUAUUAAGUUUUAUAUGAUUAUGUUUAUGUUUUUAGUGAUAAUGUUAAUUUAUUAAUAUUUUGUUGGGGCGAUAGUUAGUGGAUAUGCAUUAUGAUAUUAUUCUUUUGUAAAAGAUAUUGAACCAUUAAUAAUGAUUAAUAGAAUAAAUUACUAUAGGGAUAACAGCACAAUUUUAUUGGAGAGUUCUUAUUGAUAAUAUAGUUUGUGACCUCGAUGUUGAAUCAAUUUUUCUGGAGGAUGGAGACGUUUUUUUAGAUAGUCUGUUCGACUAUUAAAUGUUUACGUGAUC
rnacentral:rRNA from 1 species